rnacentral:rRNA from 1 species
CGUGUAGGCGGUGCGGUAAGUUGGGCGUGAAAUCCCCGAGCUUAACUCGGGUGGGCCGUUCAAGACUGCCGUGCUAGGGUGCGGGAGAGGGAAGUGGAAUUUCCGGUGUAGCGGUGAAAUGCGUAGAUAUCGGGAGGAACACCUGCGGCGAAGGCGGCUUCCUGGACCGUAACCGACGCUGAGGCGCGAAAGCUAGGGGAGCAAACAGGAUUAGAUACCCUGGUAGUCCUAGCCCUAAACGAUGAGCACUGGGUGUGGCCCCUCACGGGGCCGUGUCGAAGCUAACGCAUUAAGUGCUCCGCCUGGGGAGUACGGUCGCAAGGCUGAA